rnacentral:sRNA from 1 species
ACCUAUGUCUUUUAAUAAUUAGCAAAGCAGCAUCUAAGUCCUUUUUAGCUGCUUAGCUGUUUUAUGGAAUGAAAGGAAUUGCAAAGAGCAAUGAAUCGGAGUUCUUAUGUGAAUCUUUCUUCCUUAGGUAGUUACUGUUGCUCUCCGAUGUCCCAGUGGGAAUGUCCUGAGGAGAAGGUUUUUGAAGUCCUACGGCUCACAGGUCUUAUUUGACUGGAUGACGAGAAUUGGGUACCACACAUCUCUAUACAGCCUUUCUACUUCCUUUCCCAGACGGCCUCUGGCAGUGGAGGGAGGCCAGUCGCUGGAGGACAUAGGAAUAACUGUGGACACUGUACUCAUCCUGGAGGAGAAGGAGCAGACCAACUAGGAAAGAAGGGCAAGCUCCCUGUUUGCAUGCAGUCAGUCAUGCCAUGACCUUCUGGCACAAUAAAGGCUUCACUUUCAAAUCACACCAUACCUUGAUUGAGCUCAUGGCAGUAAACUUUGAACAUUGAUAUCCAUGGGAAUAGGAUUAGAAAAGGAUUG